rnacentral:rRNA from 1 species
UACGUAGGGUGCGAGCGUUAAUCGGAAUUACUGGGCGUAAAGCGUGCGCAGGCGGUUUUGUAAGACAGGUGUGAAAUCCCCGGGCUUAACCUGGGAAUUGCGAUGGAGACUGCAAGGCUAGAAUCUGGCAGAGGGGGGUAGAAUUCCACGUGUAGCAGUGAAAUGCGUAGAGAUGUGGAGGAACACCGAUGGCGAAGGCAGCCCCCUGGGAUGAUACUGACGCUCAUGCACGAAAGCGUGGGGAGCAAACAGG